CCUACGGGAGACUGCAGUCGGGAAUAUUGCGCAAUGGAGGAAACUCUGACGCAGAGACGCCGCGUAUAGGAAGAAGGUUUUCGGAUUGUAAACUAUUGUCGUUAGGGAAGAGAAAAGACUGUACCUAAGGAGGAAGCGCCGGCUAACUAUGUGCCAGCAGCCGCGGUAAUACAUAGGGGGCAAGCGUUAUCCGGAAUUAUUGGGUUUAAAGGGUGCGUAGACGGAAGAACAAGUUGGUUGUGAAAUCCCUCGGCUCAACUGAGGAACUGCAACCCAAACUAUUCUCCUUGAGUGUCGGAGAUGCAAGUGGCCUUCCUAGUGUAGCGGUCACAUGCGUAGAUAUUAGGAUGCCCACCAGUGGCGACGGCUACUUUCUGGACGAUACCUGCCGUUGCGGCAC
rnacentral:rRNA from 1 species